rnacentral:rRNA from 1 species
UAACCUGCUAAAUAGUUAGGCCAACGUCUGUUGGUCGUCAACUUCUUAGAGGGACUAUUGACUAUUAGUCAAUGGAAGUUUGAGGCAAUAACAGGUCUGUGAUGCCCUUAGAUGUUCUGGGCCGCACGCGCGCUACACUGAUCAAGUCAGCGAGUUUACAACCUUGGCCGGAAGGUCUGGGUAAUCUUUUGAAACUUGAUCGUGCUGGGGAUAGUCCAUUGCAAUUAUUGGACUUCAACGAGGAAUUCCUAGUAAGCGUGAGUCAUCAGCUCGCGUUGAUUACGUCCCUGCCCUUUGUACACACCGCCCGUCGCU